GAUGAACGCUGGCUGCAGGCUUAACACAUGCAAGUCGAAGGGAGGCGACAUCGAUAGCUUCUUUUUGAUGGGUGCCGACGGGCGCACGGGUCGGUCACGCGUAUCCCACCUGCGCAUCACUUCGGUUUAACCUUGCGAAAGUUAGACUAAUACACAAUGUCAUCCAUCGUAGCCAGCUGAAUGGGACUACAGCUUUAUCGGCGCUGGAUGGGGAUGAGUCUGAUUAGCUUGUUGGCGGGGUAACGACCCACCAAGGCAACGAUCAGUAGGGGUUCUGAGAGGAAGGUCCCCGACAUGGGAACUGGGACACGGACCAAACGCCUACGAGAGGCAGCAGUGAGGAAUAUUGGGCAAUGGGCGAGAGCCUGAACCAGCCAGGGAGCGAGCAAGAUGACGGCCCUAUGGGGUGUAAACUGCAUUUAGGAAGGAAUAAAGUGGUUCGCAGGAGACAUUUUGCAGGUACCUGAUGAAUAAGGACCGGCUAAUUCCGUG
rnacentral:rRNA from 1 species